rnacentral:rRNA from 1 species
UACGAAGGGGGCUAGCGUUGUUCGGAAUUACUGGGCGUAAAGCGAACGUAGGCGGUGUUCCAUGUCAGAGGUGAAAGCCUGGGGCUCAACUCCAGAAUUGCCUUUGAAACGGGGACGCUUGAGUCCGAGAGAGGAUGGCGGAAUUCCUAGUGUAGAGGCGAAAUUCGUAGAUAUUAGGAAGAACACCGGUGGCGAAGGCGGCCAUCUGGCUCGGUACUGACGCUCAGGUUCGAAAGCGUGGGGAGCAAACAGGAUUAGAUCGACCCCGGUA